rnacentral:lncRNA from 10 species
GGUUAGCUAUGCCCACAGUGCCCAGGCUUUUCGAGCUGAGGAGUGCCUUCAAGCCAGUGCUGAGCCACUCUUAGCCCCACCUCAACGUCCCUCCUGUGCUCAUCAGUUCCCAAAGUGUGGAGGGGGCCGAGGUGGCAGGGGGCUGGCAUGUCAGCACUGCCCUGAGCUUGCACAAACUGGGCUGGGUUGCGACUGUGCCUGGGUUCAACCUCAAUUUGGAUCCGAAGUUGGAGUGGGCUCUGGGAGCGGAGACAUGCCAGGUGGUGGGAGCAGGUAUGACUGGGCCUACGGGGGCAGGGGGGCUUGCUGGGCCUCUGAGAGUGCAAAGAUGCCCGGGUUUGCUGUCAUGGGUGGAUGGCUGCAGCUGUGCCUGGGAGGGUGGGGCUCCUGCCUGCCAAUUUAGAAGGGGUGGGUCUCUCACCUGUUCCUGGCUCCCACUAACUUUGAGGAGUUCACAGCCCCAGCCACUCCUCCCCACUGCAGCCAGUGUCUCCGUAGCAACUGCUCCACAUGGGCCACUGCUGCCAUCAUAGAGCGGUCCUUGCAGGUGCCUUUCUUGUACCUCAGCACUCCUGGGGGUCAUUAGAAGCCCUAGCAACACUGCUCACCACACUAUAGCUCCAGAGGCCCUAGCAGUCCUGCUCCCACAGAUCCCACUUCUGACACCAUCUAUUAAAAGAAAAUCUUCAGCUGAAUUAAAUUUAAAGGAACUUAAUUGAGCAAUGAAUGAUUCACGAAUCAGGCAGCCCCCAGAAUCACAGCAGAUUCAGUGAGACUCCAGCACAGCUACAUGGUGGAAGAUUUAUAGACAAUAAAGGGAACGUGAUGUACAGAAAUCUGAAGUGAGGAGUGAGGUCCAGAAGCAACUGGGUCCGUUACAGUUCUCAGCAGUGAGGUCCAGAAACAACUGGACUGGUUACAGUGCUCAGCAUUUGCCUUAUUUGAACACAGCUGAACACUCAGUAGUGUGUGAGUGGCAGAAGUUUGGCUGUUGGGAUUGGCCAGGACUCAGCUAUAGUUACAGGUGCAUACUCCAAAGUUAGGUUAUCAGUCUUUCUACCUAUUAAGUUAGGUUGCAGUUUGUCCACAGGGACUCAAAUCUAGAAGUACAGAGUCCUUCCCAGGCCAUAUUUAGUUCACUGUAACAGUUCCUAUUAUGACCUCACUGACAGUUCUUUUUCUCUGAAUUUUCCUUUCUUCUCAACAGCUUGUCCAAAUGUUCCAUUGGUCCCUGUUCAUCCCGCCCUGCAGCUCUCCUUGACUGAUUCUGCCCUUUGUGGUUUGCAGUCCUGUUUCUCUACAGCUUGGACCCCUUCAAUCUUUCCAUCAUAGGUUUAACUCUCUGUUGAAUUCUUAUUUGUAGCUACGCAAAUGUUACCUUAAGCUAAAAAAAUUCAAAGUGAAAGCCACAUCCUCCUCUCUUCCCUUAUGUGUAUGGUAUUACUACCAUGCAGCCAGUGACCCAAAAUGGGAUUUUUUCUGGGCUUUUCUUGCUUAGAUUCAGGCUCAUCUGGUGUCAAGCCUUGUUACUUUUGUUUCCUUGUUCUUUUAUUUUUAAUUUUUUUUCUUUUGAGACAGAGUUUCACUCUUGUUGCCCAGGCUAGAGUGCAGUGGUGUGAUCCCGGCUCACUGCAGCCUCCACCUCCCGGGUUCAAGCAAUUCUCCUGCCUCAGCUCCUGAGUAGCUGGUAUUACAGGCAUUUGCCACCACGCCUGGCUAAUUUUGUAUUUUUAGUAGAGAUGGGGUUUCUCUGUUUUGAUCAGGGUGGUCUCGAGCUCCCGACCUCAGGUGAUCUGCCCACCUCGGCCUCCCAAAGUGCUGGGAUUACAGGCCUGAGCCACCGUGCCUGGCCUGCUUGUUGUUUUCAUCUCAUCCUGAUUUCUGAAUACAGGAGAGGAGCUGAGUUGGUGUUCACUAACAAGCACAGAAGCUUUGUUACAUUUACAGUGUCAUUCUUGGCAAAACCUGAAUGGUAUGUUUGUGGGGUGAUGAGGUUCAGUCCCCUGUGACCUGUGCAUCUGGCCAACACUGUGGUGACAUCCUUAGGAAUCCCCGUGGAUUCUAGAGAAGAAAGUAG